rnacentral:pre_miRNA from 1 species
ACCUCCCGUGCCUACUGAACUGAUAUCAGUGUGUGUACGGAAUACUGGCUCAGUUCAGCAGGAACAGGAGU